ensembl:lncRNA
GGAUUUUGUUGUUUAGGAAGAGGGGAGAGUUUUGGGAGUGACGGUAACGGCAGCGAGACAGAGCGAGCGAGUCUGACUACUGCAACUCCCUCUUUCUGGCACUGAGGAAAAGUGGCUCUCGAUCUCACCUCAAACAGAAUUCAGCAGCUCAGCUUCUUACUGGGUUUUCAAACAUCCAAAUCUUGGCUUCCUUCCACUGGAUCUCUGUUUGUUUUAGAAUUUUUUUGCACAAAAUUUCACUGAUCACUUCUCAAGCAGAAAUCUUGAAUCUCAAGUGGGGCUUGUCUGGGACUUAAAUGCCUAGUUUUUACUUUAGUUUUAUUUAACCUUGGACAGGAGCUGGUAUAGCUGUC